AUGUAAACGUCUUUGCGGAAACUACUAGAAUCGACUAGAAUGGAUGUUAAUUGCUCAAUUAACAGCUGAAGAAUAAGCAAGAGCAUGUAGACGUUGAUUCUUAUGAUUCCUAUUUGCCGCAUGCAAUCCCUGCAUUGCAAGACCCAUGGCCUGGAAUGCAUAAUUAACCACCAAAAGACGGUGAUCAUCGCUUCUAAAAGUAGGUCAAUAAAUGAAAUAGAAGCGACACACUCUUUUUUGCCGGCUACAUAAACUCGUUUGAAGGUGAUUCAAGACAUCAGUUGUUCAAUUCAUCAAAAGUACGCAACACGAAACUAACAAAUGGAAUUUCUUUUGAUUUUAUUGGUUUACAUUUUCAUCGCUUAUUGAAAAGUUUCAAUUUCUUUUCGUAGUUUGUCAUCGGCACUUUCUUGGCUGUUGCUGCCGCUGCGCCUUCCAGCAACAAGCCGGAAUACAAAGCUCCUAGCUAUACUACCCCAAACUUCCCUGCCAUUAAAUACUAUGCUGCUCAAAGGGGGAAAAUAUAACUUUUUGUUCGAAACUGUGGCUAUUGAAAUAAUGCAGGGAAACUUAUGAAGACAAAACCAAAAUCAUGUCUUGAGUUCUUUGAGAUUCACUUGAACUUAACACCAGAGAAGGACCUGCCUUUGAUCAGAAACAGAACUGGUGAUAUCCAUAACAAAAUAAACUGUGAACUUUUACUAUUAAAAAUGGAGAAGUUGUGCAAUGUAAGACCACACUCAAGACACAAUUAAAUAGGAGUGAACGUGAACGUGAAAAAUAGAAUGUGUUUUUAUUCUGUAUCAAAUAAAGCUAAUGAAAACUAU